rnacentral:rRNA from 2 species
UACAGAGGGUGCGAGCGUUGUCCGGAAUCACUGGGCGUAAAGGGCGCGUAGGCGGUCUCUUAAGCGUGUGGUGAAAGCCCGGGGCUCAACUCCGGGUCGGCCGUGCGAACUGGGGGACUGGAGCUUGUCAGAGGCAGGCGGAAUUCCGGGUGUAGCGGUGGAAUGCGUAGAGAUCCGGAAGAACACCGGUGGCGAAGGCGGCCUGCUGGGACAGUGCUGACGCUGAGGCGCGACAGCGUGGGGAGCAAACAGG